AUCCAGCUGACUAGUCCCGAAUAGGAUGAAACGUGCGUCCUGAAU
rnacentral:hammerhead_ribozyme from 1 species